CCUGAACACACAAGGUGAGCAAGCAGUGUUAACCUACAGAGCAUCAUCUACCAAGACAAACGUGACUUCUUCCAUUAUAUGACCCCUUCAGUCAGAUAUCAAAAUAAAAACAAAUUCAGGCACACACUCUUUGACAAGCUGAAAACUAGCAAAUUUUACUAGCUAGUAGUAAAAUUUUAAUGAUAGCAUCAAAAAACAAAACAAUUGAGAGCAAAAAUAGAGAUAAAAGGAACAUGGCUUAGAUCUUGUCAGACUACCGGUCUAUCGAAUUCAUUACUGCCUGCACUGACUGGCAGCAAUUCUCCAAAUGUUUCACUGGAGCAGUAGUAUUUCAGGCUGCUUUAUUUUAGCUUCAACUCAAGAUCGAAUUUAGGCUUUUCUAAGAUAAAAUAAAACACUGCUUUGACAUCAUUCAUAUCCAGUAUUUUUAAACACACUUCUUAAACAUGUAUAAAACAUUUCUACCAGUAGAAUGAGUCUCUCUCAUCAUACACAUCUUUUUUUUUACAACCCUCAUCUUUUGUAUCUCCAUCUAUCUACUAAACAAAUUUAGAAGCUCAGUCAUUAGUUCUGGCAAAUUUUCUAGUAUUUACGUAAGUUCUCUAAUAUGGUAGAAAACCCCCAAAGUAAUGAGCAUUCCAGGGUAGAAAUGGCAGGCCAAAAUCAUUAGACUGUAAUUAUAUUAAAAAAAUGAAGACUUUUGCACCCAUAAAGAGUGAGUUUCAGUCAACUUCCAAGCAAACCGGUUUGUAAAACCAAUGUCAGUGUAACUACAGAAGAAAGACCAUUGUCUUCUCUGAAAUUCUUCUGAAAUUCUAAGAUCUCUGGGGAAAUCCCUUCUCUUAAUUUGAUGGCAAUCUCAACCACAUUUUGUGGAAGAGGAAUUUUUUAUUGUUACUUGUGGCCAAUGAUGGCUUCCCUUCUAUUGUCCUCCUGCCAGGCAAAGAGAGCUUUAUAUUCAUAUGGGUGUUUGACUCUUAAUGGGGCUGUUAUUCUUAUUGAUUGAUUACAUGUGAAAUUUGAACAAUGUUUCUUUUUUACACGACUCUUUCUGUUCUUAGAUGUCAUUUUUUAGGCAGAAAAGCAAGACAUAAAGUCAAUAUAAACUAAUUGUUUCAGAAUGUUAGCAUGCUCAGAGGUCUAUGUAAAUCUCACUGGAAAUAGGAGGAAGAUAUAGUAAGUCAAAAUAAACAAGGAAGAUUUUCUUUCUGCAAAGAAUACUCAUAAUAAAACUCGCAACCUAAAAAUAAAGAGAGACAAAAACUACCAAAUCCCUAACCAACACUGAUGUUAACAGACACUGGAAAGCCUUCACUACUGACCCUGGCAAUACAGCAUUUCCCUUUAUCUCUACAAAAACAUCUAUAUAAACACUGCAGACGUAUAUUUAUACAUAUUACAGAUCAUAUUAGGCAACAUAUAACCUUUCGGAAAUUAAACUAUGGAGCUUUCUCAGAAACAGUGAAACAUUUGUCAAGCUAAACAACUUAUCAAGGAAAAAUAAUGUCAUAUACCCUCAGACUUUUAAAAAAAAUAAGAUAUGACUGUUUAAUCCUUUCUUUAGUAGUCUGUUGAGAACCUUACUUUGAAAAAUAAGAAUCCACUCAGAAUUCUAAAUGGCAGUUUCAGCAGCUGUUUUGGUAAACAGGAAAUAGUUACAGAAAGAAAACUAUUAUUCACAGAGAUAAGUAAAAUUCAUAUCAUUUGAGCUUUCAUUCCAAAUUCCAACACAUUGUUUGCUUAUAUACGCUUUCUUCUUGGAGGAAACUGAUGGCAAAGAAGUUGUGUUUCUUGACUAAAACUCCAAUACAGCUGAAAAAAAUUCCCACAAGACUGAGGUCCAUUUACCUGGAGUAAGCUCCACUGAACUUAAUGUAGCUUACAUGAGAUUCACGCCCAGCUGAGCUGUUCAGUGGUGAGAGGCUUAAUCCAGGUGCCCUACCAUCUGAACCCAUUGUUAGAACCUUCAGAAGCUCACUGUGAUGCUUUCAACAAUGAUUUUACAGAUAAAAUCUCUUGCAUAAGAGCUGUCUUAGAUACGGUCAUUGGAGCAGAAAACAACAACUAAGUGUCCAGCAACUCUGUGAGUGGAAUUACACUGGAUCAGUUUCAAUUAGUGAGUACUGUUGAUGUGGACAAGCUGCUGGAGCAAGCAAGAAAGACAACCUGCCUUCUUGAUUCCUGUCCCUCUUGGCUGGUUAUCCACAGAGGAGAUGCAAUUUGAUCUCAAAUACAACAAAUUAUUAAUGCAUCUCUCAGGUAGGGGAAUUUUCCAUCUUGUCUAAAAGAAGCAGUAGUUAGACCAAUGCUGAAAAAGCCCUCACUGGAUCCCCUGGACCUUAACAUCUACAGACCAGUGUCUAACCUCUCUUUUUUGGGCAAGCUGAUUGAAAAGGCAGUUGCCUUCCAACUCCAGGCAGUCUUGGAUGAUACACACUUACUGGACCCAUUUCAAGCCAGCUUCAGAGCAGGAUAUGGAGUUGAGACUGCUAUAGUUGCUUUAGUGGAUGAUCUCCGUCUCAACACUGAUAAGGGGUUUGUGUCCUUGGAGGGGCUGGGAAUCGGAGGCACUGUACUGCAGUGGUUCCAGCCGUAGUUCUUUACUAAUCUAGUUGGUGUGUAUACUGGGUGGGUGAGGGAAUUACAUAUCCAUCAACUGAGGUGUCUGGCAUAUAAGUAAUCAUGAAUAAAUUAUAUCUAAUAUAGCACAAUUAUUAUGUAAACUGACAUCUUCAUGGCUUUACUGCCAACCUACAAAGCAUGACAUGCAACUAGAAAAUCACAAGCAGCUUAAUAUACUGUAUUACACAUGUGAAUGAAUUGCUUCAAAAAGCAGAAGCCAGUAACUUUAUGUUCAUUCACAAAAGGGAAUCAGUAAGUAACUUAAAAAUCACUAGUGUACAAGCAAUCAAGAUUUAAAUAUACAGUAGAGUCUCACUUAUCCAAGCUAAACGGGCCGGCAGAAGCUUGGAUAAGCGAAUAUCUUGGAUAACAAGGAGGGAUUAAGGAAAAGCCUAUUAAACAUCAAAUUAGGUUAUGAUUUUACAAAUUAAGCACCCAAACAUCAUGUUAUACAAAACAUUUGACAGAAAAAGUAGUUCAAUGUGAAAUAAUGCGAUGUAGUAAUUACUGUAUUUACGAAUUUAGCACCAAAAUAUCACGAUAUAUUGAAAACAUUGACUACAAAAAUGGCUUGGAUUAUCCAGAGGCUUGGAUAAGCGAGGCUUGGAUUAGUGAGACUCUACUGUACAAUGUAAACAUAUAAAACAAUAUAAUAUGGGGUAUAUUCCUAAAUAUUAUAGUAGCCAGUAUGGUGUUGUGGUUUGAGGGUUGGACUACAGCUUUGAUGACCAGGGUUCGAUUUCCUGCUCAGACCUGGAAACUCACUGGGUGACCUUGGGUUGCUCACAUACUCUCAGCCCCAGAAAACCUAUUGUAGUUUGCCUUAGGGUCACUAUAUUAUUGACAUAACUUGAAGGUACACAACAACAACAACAACAACAACGUCUUAAGCAACAAAAGAAAAUAUUAAUAUAGCAAAUUAUACACUUGGUGUCAUUCUACUAAAUAACUGAAACACUUAUUUCAACAUAGCCUAACAUUACUAUACACCAGCAAAGUUUAAAGAAUUUAUGAUUUAACAGUUCUUUUGAAAAGAUUUUGAAUCUUUCUCAAUGUGAAGAUGGUUGAUCAUUCUAAGGCGUAUGUGUCAAAUGCAAGCCCUGCAGCCCAAGUCCGGCCCAGCACAUCAUUUUAUGUGGCCAGCGAGGCUUUCAAUGCCAAUAAAACAAAGUUACAUUUAUACAUCUUACAAUUACAAUUGGCCCUUUGAAGGCUACCAUAAGGUUGAUGUUGCUCUCAGUGAAAAUGAGUUUGACACCCCUAAUCAAAAGAAUGCCAGUCCUGUGUUGCACUACAACUGCCAAAAUCCCUUCAUCUAUAAUACUAACUUUAGAAUACUGCCAUUGAUCCUAAUCAAAAGAGAGACAUACAGAUUUCAAGUCAAUAAUAAAAUCCACAAAUGAAGAAAAAAGAAUUACUUUGGGAAAUGUGUGAGAAUUAGUGUUCGUUUCUCAGGAGGAAGUUUGUCUUUUUCCUGCCUAGCAUGUUCCAGAAGUUGACGUCUCAUGACAGUAAACACUGAACGCAGAAGUGUUCUCCCAAAAACUUGUGUGGUUUCGUAUCGAGGUAGACUAUCGCAAAACUGGGGGACAUUACAGUAGCAAAGCCAUCUGCAGGAGAAAAAAUUAAUAUGUCAGCCCAGUCAACUGAACCAUAUCAGUAGGAAGAAAGUAUCUGAGUCAGAACCCACUAACAACCCACUUAACAGUAACCACAGAACAAAUUAUUGCACCAUCUAAAAUAGCAGUUUGCUUAAUAAAUCUCCAACAUUUUUUCUUUAUGUCUUGCAAACAAGCCAAAAGGCCAUUUCAAUUCUGUUCACAUAUUUUUAGAAGAUUGCUUAACAUCAAGAGUUUUCAGGCUGGAUCCUGGAUGAGGUUCUUGCAACUAUGAAGCUUAAGAGAUUUUGGGGCCAGAUGGGGUUCUACAGGUGGUCUAAUAAUCUUCUAAGAUGCAAGUGAAAUACUGAAGCAAGUUAUUGUUACCUUGUGUAGUUCACUUUAUAGCCAGCAAUGUCAUCAUUAGGUGACCUCUGUCUUCGCUGAGAAGGUGUCUCCAGGUGCCAAUAGUUGAUGCGAUUUAGGAACAUUUUAGCCAGUUCUAUUAUUGUUUGUCUCUCUUUUGAUGGAAGGUGACUAAAUUUGUAUUGCACAAAAUUAUUGACUCCCUUUUAAAAGAAACAGAAAGAAUAGUUAAUUAGAAUAACCAGCAAACCAAUUUAAUGCCUUGCUUUUGAAGAUAUUAAGCUCUUAAUAAAUAUUUUCUGGUACAAAUUCUGUUUUCUCUCCACUGGUUAGCUGAGAUCUGAUUCACACAUUGCCUUUAUGAUAUAAUCACUGCUGGGGAAGCCAAGCUACAUAGUUGUUUCUUAGACAUUGCAUCAACAUGGGUUAAGGCAAACCAAGGUGCUCUCUUAUUAAAUUCUGGCUAUGCAAACAUAUGUGUAGUUUGGCUAAUAAACAUGCAAUUGACUAUCACACAUUUUUCUGACGAAUUUCCUAUGGCCAGAAGUGAGUGUCAAAUUUCUGACUUCUAGUUUUGGUUUUCUUGGGAGAUUCAGGUCUUGGAAAAGUUACUUUUUGCACUGCAACUAUCAGUAUCCUUCAACCUACGUGAUUCAUUUUUUAAAGAUCUGUAGAUAGUGGGGAUCAGAAAUGUCUUCCAAAUUUUCUUAAAGCUAUUUCUAAAGGUCAUAGGCUCUAAAAGUUAUAGGCUUUGUCUCAUUUUGGGAUCCAAAACACAUAGUAGCUGCUCUUCUUGUGCACAGAAUCUUAAGCCUGGCUGGAUUCUACCCAAGAAUUACUGUCUUGAAAUUCAUAUAUGUACUAGGUUCUCACUACUAGUAAAGCCAGACAUAUCAACAACAGCUCCCAAGAAAGUAUCACUCUUGCUUGUGAAUCUGGUAUCCAUCAGCCAAACCAAUGUCCAUUAAAAUUGUUUGACAGCAGUCUAUUACAAGGAUGGGGAAAAUGUGGGUUUCCAGAUAUUAGUGAAUAGCAACUUUCAUUUGCCCCUACUGUUGGCUAUGAUAGUUGAGGAAGAUGGAAUUUGAAUUCCAGCAUCUGAAGUCCACCUUUCCCCCUUCCACUUCUAUAAAAUGUGGACUUUGUUUCAUACUAACAGUCAUUAUGAACCCACUUAAAUGGGAAUAGCUUUGUAAUUCAUAACAUGCAUUAUUCUUUUUUUUUUAAAUAGUCAUCACUGUAGUCCCAAGGCAAGAAGACAAUUCAUAUGGUCAAACUUCAUACAACCAAUUGCCCAAUCAAUGGAUAGAUGGAUAUCUCCAGAUAACUAAUUACAAUUGUUACCUUCCUGAAUCAGGACUUUGUUUUCUAAAGACAAUAGCUACCUACCUAGAAUCUUGUAGUGAUACAAAUUGCUAUCAUCUACUGGCUUCCUUUAAAACUUCCUCUUUUGUAUUGCUAAUGGUGGAUUUUCCAAUUUACAAGAUGCUUUUUCCAUCCAAUUUCCUGGGGCACUGAACUAAGAACAAAGUCCUCUCUGCAGAUAUGUACAAAAGAAUACAUUAAAAAGAGUACUCCUUAAACUAAAUGCAAUCAUUUCACAUUCAAAUGAAAGUGGAUACUGCAUUUUGAAAUACAUGCAAUUGAGUUAAAGUGGCUGUUAGCAUUUUGAAAAAGAAGAGUAAAACGAUCUUAAUGUGAACUUUAAAUAUUCAAUUUUCCUUUGGGUCAAUGACAAAAAGUGGUAUUUCUAUCCUGCCAAGAGCCUCAAAAUAUUUUUUU